GUCUCGGUGGCGCAAUGGUAGCGCGUUGGACUUCUACCGCUUGAUUGAUUUCGGUAUCCAAAGGCUGCGGGUUCGAGCCCCGCCCGAGAUG
rnacentral:tRNA from 1 species